rnacentral:snRNA from 1 species
CAACUUGCCUGACUGAGACAUCUGUUACCCCAUUGAUCACCAACGUUGAUUCAGCUGAUUUGACUGGCGAAGUGGCUAUUCCCUUCCUCCCUCACUGUUCCAUGUGCAUCCCUCCCAAAGCUGCACACUUGGUCAAAGAGGUCAACCAUCUCCACUAGAGGAGGACCAAUCUUAGGAGAAGGGUAUUUGAGUAACUGUAUUUCUCUGCUAGAACCUUCAAACAAGCUCUCAACUUGCUGUGCUCAAGUUUACUUCCCGUCACCUUCAUUCUUUGUCAUCAGACACUGUGAAUGCAGAA